UACGAAGGGGGCUAGCGUUGUUCGGAAUUACUGGGCGUAAAGCGCGCGCAGGCGGUUUUUCAAGUCAGUGGUGAAAGCCCGGAGCUCAACUCCGGAAAUGCCAUUGAAACUGUAAAACUUGAGGACGAGAGAGGUGAGUGGAAUUCCCAGUGUAGAGGUGAAAUUCGUAGAUAUUGGGUGGAACACCGGUGGCGAAAGCGGCUCACUGGUCCGGUUCUGACGCUGAGGCGCGAAAGCGUGGGGAGCAAACAGG
rnacentral:rRNA from 1 species